rnacentral:rRNA from 1 species
GACGAACGCUGGCGGCGUGCCUAAUACAUGCAAGUAGAACGCUGAAGGAGGAGCUUGCUCUUCUGGAUGAGUUGCGAACGGGUGAGUAACGCGUAGGUAACCUGCCUGGUAGCGGGGGAUAACUAUUGGAAACGAUAGCUAAUACCGCAUAACAGUAGAUGUUGCAUGACAUUUACUUAAAAGGUGCACUUGCAUCACUACCAGAUGGACCUGCGUUGUAUUAGGUAGUUGGUGGGGUAACGGCACACCAAGGCGACGAUACAUAGCCGAGCUGAGAGGGGGAUCGGCCACACUGGGACGGAGAAAAGGGUCAGAAGUCUAAGGGAGGGAGCAGGAGGGAAACAUUGGCAAUGGGGGGAAGGCUGGCCGAGGAACGCCGGGGUAGGUGAGAAGGGUUUCGGAUCGGAAAGGUCGGUUGGAAGAGAAGAAAGAGUGUGAGAGUGGAAAGUUCACGUUGUGACGGUAUCUAAACAGAAAGAGACGGCUAACUACGUG